AACGGUAACAGGCCGCAAGGUGCUGACGAGUGGCGAACGGGUGAGUAAUGCAUCGGAACGUGCCCGGUCGUGGGGGAUAACACUUCGAAAGAAGUGCUAAUACCGCAUACGAUCUGAGGAUGAAAGCGGGGGACCGUAAGGCCUCGCGCGAUCGGAGCGGCCGAUGUCAGAUUAGGUAGUUGGUGGGGUAAAGGCUCACCAAGCCAACGAUCUGUAGCUGGUCUGAGAGGACGACCAGCCACACUGGGACUGAGACACGGCCCAGACUCCUACGGGAGGCAGCAGUGGGGAAUUUUGGACAAUGUGCGCAAGCCUGAUCCAGCAAUGCCGCGUGCAGGAAGAAGGCCUUCGGGUUGUAAACUGCUUUUUGUACGGAACGAAACGGUCCGG
rnacentral:rRNA from 1 species